rnacentral:rRNA from 1 species
UCCUACGGGGGGCAGCAGUAGGGAAUCUUCCACAAUGGGCGAAAGCCUGAUGGAGCAACGCCGCGUGGGUGAAGAAGGUCUUCGGAUCGUAAAACCCUUUUGUUAGAGAAGAAAGUGCGUGAGAGUAACUGUUCACGUUUCGACGGUAUCUAACCAGAAAGCCACGGCUAACUACGUGCCAGCAGCCGCGGUAAUACGUAGGUGGCAAUCGUUAUCCGGAUUUAUUGGGCGUAAAGGGAACGCAGGCGUUCUUUUAAGUCUGAUGUGUAAGCCUUUGGCUUAACCGGG